UUCAGAUUCCUGCAUCUGUAAUCUGUCAGUGGAAUCCUGUCUACCUUAAUCGAACUCGAAGCUUUCAUGUUUAAACUGCUGCAGUUGGGAAUUUUCAUCUUCGUGCGACGAUAUUCUGGAAUGCAGUACAUCUGAGAAACCGUAUUUUGUCGUAGCA